UUGUCCACUUGAGGGAACUGCUGGGCAAAAUCCACCAGGUUGGAGGAAUUUCUGCAGCAUGUUGAUUUUGUUACUUUGAGUCCACCUCUUCAGCAGGCCAUCUAAAAAGAUCCAUUGUGCCCAGGUUGUCUGGUAGGCAGGAUAGGGUGGUCUCUAGUUUCACUGACAUUUGCUUGAGCCAAUGGUGCUUUCCUCCUUCCCGUCACAGGCAAGAAGGAAAAACCCCAGAAAUUCUGAUAAUCCAUAAUGCUCUGGUAUAUUUGGGAUUGACCAAAGGAUCUUCUCACCGAAUAUCAUCAUCCAUUUGGAGAUUUGGAAUCAGAUAAGGUGGCGUAUUUGACUGCUGGGUGAUGACCUAAUUGCUGCAUUAAAUGCCAAUUUUCUUUGUUUUCCAAAAAUCAGCUGUAAAAUAAAAAAGUUUUAUAGGAUGUUGCUUAAAAAUGAUGUUACAGACUUUAGCCAGCAGGGGGCGGAUUUUACAGACCCCCAUAAUUAAAAAAACACUUCUGGAGUCUGGGACAAUGAUGAGAUGAAAAUAUCCAAGACCACGGAGAAUCCAUUAAAAAGAUCCGCUGGAUUUUACAGUGGCAAGCCAAAAGGAAACGCCUCAAUUCCUCAGAUGUAGUUCUAGCUUUCCUUGAGGUAAUUUCCCAGCAAGGUUCAACCAAGCAAGCGCAGCAAAUCCAGUAGAAGAAAGAAAAAGCCUUAAGAUCCUUGAUUUCUCCUUUUUCCACUGAGGUCUCCAGACUGCGAAUGGUUUGCAAGUGCUGUAUGUUGUUGGAUUCCAGAUGUGCUUAGCUCAGGCAUCAUGCGAUUGGCUGCGCGCUCAACCCAGUUCCCGCGUCUCAGAUUUCUCCACAUCCAGAGGCAGAGCAGAGGAGGUACAUGGACCACAAAAAGCUUCAUGUUAGAGUUUAUCCACUGUACACCUGCCAGCUAGCUGCAACAUGAUCAGUACAAGACUAUCAUACCAGUGUGGCUGUCACAGCUUGUAUCUAAUGCAGUCAAACACAAGUGUGAAAACCAAAUGUAAACAAUGUACAUUCACAGCUGAACUAUAGAUGGCAAAGGGGGCCAAAACCAACUUGAGCAUUUUGAUUAUUUAGUGUUUUUUUUUUUUUUUUAAUAUGUAUUACACUUAUUAUAAUGGAUUUUUCAG